rnacentral:pre_miRNA from 1 species
CAAGUCACUUGUCUACCAUUAGUAGAUGGUUGUGCAUUGUUUCAAAAAUGGUACCCUAGUGACUACAA